AAACGACUCUCGGCAACGGAUAUCUCGGCUCACGCAUCGAUGAAGAACGUAGCAAAAUGCGAUACUUGGUGUGAAUUGCAGAAUCCCGUGAACCAUCGAGUUUUUGRAMGCAAGUUGCGCCCGAAGCCAUCCGGUUGAGGGCACGUCUGCCUGGGCGUCACRC
rnacentral:rRNA from 1 species